rnacentral:rRNA from 1 species
AUGCUCCGGGAGAUCACCACGCUUGGGCAAGAUGAGCGUCACAUCCUGGUCCAGCAAGGAGGAUCAUAUGUGUACCAAGACCGGAGAAGAGCGCCGGCAAAGAAUACGAGGCGAAGGAGGAGUUUGAAGCUCGAGUUGCGGCAUGAGCAGAGUCCAAGAAGUAUAUCAAAGGAAGGAGGUGACGAUACAGGAGUGGGAGAACUGCCAGAAAUCCAAAUUCGAAGCCAAGAUGAAUGUGCAGGCCGAGAAGGCGGGGGUGAAGAACAACUUCACCAAGAGGCUUCCCACAUUGAGGCACAAGGUGGAGGGGAAGCAAGUGAGGGUCGAGGUGAGACGGGACCAGCAGGCAGUCUGGUUGGCGCGACAGGUGGAGCGCAUCUGGAAGACCGGACACGUGCCGUCCCGGUUCCAGUGUUGCAACUGGUUCCUGUGCUGAAAACCAAACAAAUUUCAGAUUGCGUCUGA